CUGAACCAAAAUGGUGAAACUGAUUUUGAUUUCUUUGCACGCUAUAGUUGCAAUUAACGCUAUGCUAUCAACGAACGUACCUGCAGGAAAUGGCUUAAAAUACGUCGGGUCGUUCAGAUCAUGAAUGAGUGUUCAAGGAAGAAGUACGCAGCUGUUUGACGAAAGUAAUUAUUACAUUAGUCAGAAUUGGGGUGCUUGCAAUACUGCACAGAAAGAUUGUAAAAACAUACUAAACGCUAAUUUACUCGCUGUGGAAACGGAGGAAG